AUGUCCCUGAAAGUUAACAAGGAAACCUCUGCUCCUCCCAAAGUCAAGAUAAAGCAAAGUCUUUGAAGGCCAAAAAGGCAGUGCAGAAAAGUAUCCACAACCAUACUCAAAAGAUCCUCACACUACUCCACUUCUGGUGGCCCAAGACUCUGCAGCUUUUAAGGCAGCAAAAUGUCCUUAGAAAAGUACCACCAGGAGAAGCAAGCUUGAUCACUCUGCCAUCAUGUUCCACUUGAAUCAGACAAGAAUAGGGAAGACAAUACAUAUGUGUUCAUUUUAGAUGUCAAAACCAACAUGCACCAGUUCCAAAGGCUGUGAAGAAGCUUCAUGACACUAACAUGGCCAAGAUCAACACACUGAUCAGGCCUGAUGAACAAAAAAAGGCUUGA
rnacentral:lncRNA from 1 species